rnacentral:rRNA from 1 species
UACGUAGGGGGCUAGCGUUGUCCGGAAUCAUUGGGCGUAAAGCGCGUGUAGGCGGCCUGGUAAGUCCGCUGUGAAAGUCGGGGGCUCAACCCUCGGAUGCCGGUGGAUACUGUCGGGCUCGAGUACGGAAGAGGCGAGUGGAAUUCCUGGUGUAGCGGUGAAAUGCGCAGAUAUCAGGAGGAACACCAAUUGCGAAGGCAGCUCGCUGGGACGUUACUGACGCUGAGACGCGAAAGCGUGGGGAGCAAACAGG